AACGGUCUAUACCUGCGGUACCUGCGGAAGGAUCAUUACAUGGCGGAGGAGGUGGGCACCUAGUAAAACAAAACCCUAGGUGUGUUGCCUACCACGCUUUCUACCCUUGUCUAUUUGCACCUUUUGUCGUUCCCUCGGUGGGUCUUGAACCUGCCGGCGGCAACUUUCAAAAACCUUUUGUAGUUAGUAUCUAAUUCUUCUGAUCAAAUAUUCAAUCGUUACAACUUUCAGCAAUGGAUC
rnacentral:misc_RNA from 1 species